CGGUCGGUAACGCCGAGUCCUGCCGCCGACCGGACCGGGACCUCAACCUCAAGGCAUGGAGCGGGGGACCCACACGUUCCUCGGCGCGCCACGUGCGCGCCUCGGGGUGAAGCCGCCAUGCGCGGCCGGGCUCCUCGGCCCGAACCCGACAGCUGACCUCGUAGGCGUGGAGGGUCUUUUU
rnacentral:sRNA from 2 species